rnacentral:misc_RNA from 1 species
CUAGAAAAUGUGUCAGAGAGCACACGGAUAAAGCAGGCAGCAGACUAUUCUUAACAUCUCUGUUAAAAUGUUUUGUCUCUUUCACUCUUAUUUUUCCAACUUCACAAAGGCUCAACCUAAGAAAUAUAAAAACAUAUACAUAAUGUGAAUACACCAAAACCUCAUGGAAAUUGCUUAUUCUGAGCAAUCAGAUCAACUUGCACAUUACCACUUAAAACAACAACUCUUUCUUUAAG